UUCGCCCUUCUCUCCUCCCUCAAUCUGGAAAGUUUUCUCAGCAGAGGCCAAGCACAUUCCUGAGUUCUGGCUCAGGAAAGGACUUUCCCAACCUUCCAACAUUCCCGGCCCUCGCUCACCCUGCUGACCUACCAAGAGCUCUGCUUGCUCCACCCCGAGCAGCUGCAUUCCAGCUGUGGAGUUCUUAGGAAACUGCAAGAGGCCUAGGGCUGCAAGGACUCAGCGGUGCAAAUUUUGGAAUUCAGAGUCUGAAAGGCUGAGGCAGGAACCUCCAGAGGAAAACCUGGUCUCAAAAACAGCAAGAUGGUAGGAGUGAUCUUGUGAUAUGCUAGAGGACCUAGGAAAUGGAAGGACUGACGGCCACCCCGACGCACAGCAACAACGGAGAGCCGUGGGUAUGAUUUGGGAGUCCAUCCUCAUCUACAGCCCUACUAUCCCGAAUGAAUGUGUUCCAUCUUAGCAGCUCAGCAGGGCUGGGCCUGGUCGGGACAAGGAUGAGGGACUCCAUUCUCCAAAGAGAAGAGGAGCCUUCUGCAGUCUUCCAUCAACUCCCGGGCCUGACGGAACCUGUCCUCUAUCUUUGUUGCCCAAGCUGAUGUCAUGUUCUAAGGGACUGGAUUUGCUAAGCUGCAACAAGAUGCCUUCAGAAGGACCCAGAUUGCCUGCAGUGGGGGGCGGGGACCUGAGAAACAAGGCAAGGACCGGCAACUACUCUCCCUAAGAUGGAGGCAGCAUGAUGUAAGCGGCUGGCUAAAAUAUCUGGCAUGCUUGCAGUUUUAAGUUGCCAGCUAAAUAUUAUUAAAAAGAUAAAAUACACGCAA